rnacentral:lncRNA from 1 species
AUGGGGCAGAGAAAUUUUGAAAACUGACAAAAUAAUGAUCUUAUAAUUCUAUAAGAUACACUUUGGUCUGCUAUUAUAUGUCUAUGUAUUUAUAUAUGUCAGGUGUAUAUAACAUUUUACUACUGAAAUAUAUAAAAGAAUAGAAAACUGCAAAGGUGUAGUCAAAGAAGUUGGAAGAAAAUAAUUGAUCAAGGACUUUCAAGAAAUAGUCAAUAGUACUACAUAAAGCAGAUAAGUAAGAUAGUGUUAACUAGUUUUUUUUUCUACUAAUGAAUUCUCCAACCCAUGAACAUGGGAUAUCUUUCCAUUUAUUUGUGCCUUCUUCAAUUUCCUUCAUCAGUGUUUCACAGUUUUCUUAGUAGAGAUCUUUCACCUCCUUGAUUAUAUUAUUUAUACCUAGGUUUUUUAGCACUAUUAUAAAUGGGAUUGCUUUCUUGAUUUCUUGUUUAGGUAGUUCACUAUUAACCAAUAGAAAUACUACUAGUUGGAGUACCUGCUCCUGCUGCACUGGACGGAGCAGCAGCGGCUGCUUUGCCUUCCUUUGCCACCAGUCCUGGCCAUCGCUGGGGAGGUCUGCGGACCUUGGCUCCAGGAUCUGAGUGGGGGGCCACACUAGGCCCAUAGCCCUGCCCCUGGCUCCGUCUUCCUUGGCCAUCAGGGCCUCAAGCCCCUCUGCGGCCCCCACCUCGUACGGGGUCUUCUGCAAGGGACUCUCCCACACCCUCCUUGCCUUCUUUGAGCUGUCCUGGCACUCAUGAACUUCCAAUACUUGUAUGUCGUUGCAGGCUCUGUGAUCCUCAACAUCUGCUUGCAGGUACACUUUUAGAGCCGCGACUGAGCUGCCAGCCUCGGCCUCCCCGGACAGCAUGAUGGCAGACUCCCAGGGGCCCCCGCGGCGCAGCAGAGCUGCC